GACGAACGCUGGCGGCGUGCUUAACACAUGCAAGUCGAACGGAAAGGCCCUGCUUUUGUGGGGUGCUCGAGUGGCGAACGGGUGAGUAACACGUGAGUAACCUGCCCUUGACUUUGGGAUAACUUCAGGAAACUGGGGCUAAUACCGGAUAGGAGCUCCUGCUGCAUGGUGGGGGUUGGAAAGUUUCGGCGGUUGGGGAUGGACUCGCGGCUUAUCAGCUUGUUGGUGGGGUAGUGGCUUACCAAGGCUUUGACGGGUAGCCGGCCUGAGAGGGUGACCGGCCACAUUGGGACUGAGAUACGGCCCAGACUCCUACGGGAGGCAGCAGUGGGGAAUAUUGCACAAUGGGCGGAAGCCUGAUGCAGCAACGCCGCGUGCGGGAUGACGGCCUUCGGGUUGUAAACCGCUUUCGCCUGUGACGAAGCGUGAGUGACGGUAAUGGGUAAAGAAGCACCGGCUAACUACGUGCCAGCAGCCGCGGUGAUACGUAGGGUGCGAGCGUUGUCCGGAUUUAUUGGGCGUAAAGGGCUCGUAGGUGGUUGAUCGCGUCGGAAGUGUAAUCUUGGGGCUUAACCCUGAGCGUGCUUUCGAUACGGGUUGACUUGAGGAAGGUAGGGGAGAAUGGAAUUCCUGGUGGAGCGGUGGAAUGCGCAGAUAUCAGGGGGAACACCAGUGGCGAAGGCGGUUCUCUGGGCCUUUCCUGACGCUGAGGAGCGAAAGCGUGGGGAGCGAACAGGCUUAGAUACCCUGGUAGUCCACGCUGUAAACGGUGGGUACUAGGUGUGGGGUCCAUUCCACGGGUUCCGUGCCGUAGCUAACGCUUUAAGUACCCCGCCUGGGGAGUACGGCCGCAAGGCUAAAACUCAAAGGAAUUGACGGGGCCCCGCACAAGCGGCGGAGCAUGCGGAUUAAUUCGAUGCAACGCGUAGAACCUUACCUGGGUUUGACAUGGAUCGGGAGUGCUCAGAGAUGGGUGUGCCUCUUUUGGGGUCGGUUCACAGGUGGUGCAUGGCUGUCGUCAGCUCGUGUCGUGAGAUGUUGGGUUAAGUCCCGCAACGAGCGCAACCCUUGUUCACUGUUGCCAGCACGUUAUGGUGGGGACUCAGUGGAGACCGCCGGGGUCAACUCGGAGGAAGGUGGGGAUGACGUCAAGUUAUCAUGCCCCUUAUGUCCAGGGCUUCACGCAUGCUACAAUGGCUGGUACAGAGAGUGGCGAGCCUGUGAGGGUGAGCGAAUCUCGGAAAGCCGGUCUCAGUUCGGAUUGGGGUCUGCAACUCGACCUCAUGAAGUCGGAGUCGCUAGUAAUCGCAGAUCAGCAACGCUGCGGUGAAUACGUUCCCGGGGCU
rnacentral:rRNA from 1 species